GACGAACGCUGGCGGCGUGCUUAACACAUGCAAGUCGAACGGAAAGACCCUGCUUUUGUGGGGUGCUCGAGUGGCGAACGGGUGAGUAACACGUGAGUAACCUGCCCUUGACUUUGGGAUAACUUCAGGAAACUGGGGCUAUUACCGGAUAGGAGCUCCUGCUGCAUGGUGGGGGUUGGAAAGUUUCGGCGGUUGGGGAUGGACUCGCGGCUUAUCAGCUUGUUGGUGGGGUAGUGGCUUACCAAGGCUUUGACGGGUAGCCGGCCUGAGAGGGUGACCGGCCACAUUGGGACUGAGAUACGGCCCAGACUCCUACGGGAGGCAGCAGUGGGGAAUAUUGCACAAUGGGCGGAAGCCUGAUGCAGCAACGCCGCGUGCGGGAUGACGGCCUUCGGGUUGUAAACCGCUUUCGCCUGUGACGAAGCGUGAGUGACGGUAAUGGGUAAAGAAGCACCGGCUAACUACGUG
rnacentral:rRNA from 1 species